GUAGCUAGCAAAAAUGGAUGCCAAGACUUCCAUUAGGGUUAUCAUCAUUCGGAUGCUUAUUAUCUUUUUGUUUAUCUCAUCUACGUACCCGAUGGUGGUUGCCGAACCCAACAAUGUCGUCCGAUGAGCGAAGAAAAAUAGUAUCCUGCGAGGAAAUAUUGACCAUAUGGAAAUUCUAAGGGCAAACCCUUCCCCUCGUGACGGGACAGGUUGUCAAACCUGCGGAAAACGUUGAUCUAUAUCAUUCAAUCGACUGAAGAAAAUAAAAUUAAGACGUUAAUGGUAUAUAGAUUGUCUUUUUUUAUGCACAAUACUUGUAAUAUAGGAAGGAAAUAAUGGAAACCAAUAAGCUAGUCCAAGAGUGCACCGUGUUUUGGUCCAUAUGUCAACAUGGAAAGCUUGUAAUAAUUACUACGUAAUGAGACUUUGAUGUGGAAAUCUCCCUGAACAAAGUUAUUCAAUAAUAAAAAGUUUAGUGCAUAACAGAAGGGUUAUAAAUAUUUGAGAUUAUGAUU